GACGUAGGGCGCGAGCGUUGUCCGGAUUUAUUGGGCGUAAAGAGCUCGUAGGCGGCUUGUUGCGUCGACCGUGAAAACCCGUGGCUCAACUACGGGCUUGCGGUCGAUACGGGCGGGCUGGAGUUCGGUAGGGGAGACUGGAAUUCCUGGUGUAGCGGUGAAAUGCGCAGAUAUCAGGAGGAACACCGGUGGCGAAGGCGGGUCUCUGGGCCGAUACUGACGCUGAGGAGCGAAAGCGUGGGGAGCAAACAGG
rnacentral:rRNA from 1 species